UGGGAGUUUCUCUAACCGACAACCAUCACAUAAGAGCUAUAGUGAUGAUACAGCGAUCGACCUCACGCUGCCAGAGCAUCUUAUACCCGGCCAAAGGUAUAAGACCUGAACUGCCUAAUGGAUCCACUAGUCUAAUACGAAAAUGAUUCAUCUAAAAAGUAUGAUCCUUUUCUACCCAUGGUGGCUAACAUGGUUCUAUGGGGGCUGUGGGUUCUUUGAACGCUCCCCCAAUUCGGUGCUCGAUACUACUCCCAAAAAUGUACUGGCUCUUAUGUUUUUAAAACAUAUUUAUUCCUGCUGAUAUGAGAUAAUUACUCAAAAACUAGCCCGAAGGCUCUUUUGGAAAUCUCAGUUUCCAACCUUGUUUAAAUGUAAAAACAUUUCUUUAAAACUUCUUUGGGAAUACAUAGUUCCCUAAUAACUUUGAGAAAAGAACUCAACUUUAAACUCUUUACCUUACUUGAACUCUUAGCUUGAUGUGAAACUCUUAACCUAACAUGAAAC
rnacentral:lncRNA from 1 species